UACUUGUCUGCAUGUAUUUUUAAUUUGUUAUAUACGAACUCAACCUCACCUGCAACCAGGUUGACAACAGGUGGAUACAGUUAACCAUCGAGAGUCCAACAAUAUUUCUAAUACUUAUAAUCGAAAAAUCAAAUAAACUUUAUAUUUAAUUUAUAUUAAUUGAUUAACUAAGUUCCCGUUUUAGACCUAUAAUGAAAUACUUGCUAUUAUAUAGUACAGACAUGUAGGACAUAAAUAAGAAAAUGGUCUCUAUUCAUUUUAUGACUAAACCAAAAAGUUAAAAAUUACUAUCCCUUGAAUCCGAAUACAACAACAUAAAGCAAUGUCAAGUCCAUGGCCGGCUUCAACAUUUGAUAGACCUCGGGCCAAAAAAAAAAUAAAAGGCCCUCGAACAUAUAAAAACAUGAAACUUACAAAAUUAUUACUACGAUUAGAUACUAAACAGGAAUGUUUACCACAAGCAAACACAUAUAAUAAUUUGCAACUUCUGUGUAUAGUGUAUUAAUGUAACCAACAACUUUUUAUUAUUUUUAUUAUCUAUAUAAAAGGUUCAUGAUUUUAAUUUUCAUUUUCAUUUUCUUUGAUCCCAAAUUUAUUCAUAGAACUUUUAUGUGAUUUUAUAAACAAUUCUGCUUAUUUUUCUUCUUGAUGUUUUGAUAAGUAAUCCCCAGUCAUAAUCUAAGCUAUAUAUCAAAUAAAAAGAAAAAUAGCACCUUACAAUAUGAACUCCCAAAGAAAUGUUGAAUCUGAAAUUGUAAAGAACCAACAAAAAAUAGUUGCUCUAUUCAGCAUACGCUAUUAGAAAGCAUAUCUAAUACAUCCAUUAAAUCAUCACUGAAACAAAUUAGGAACAAUAGAUGUGGAUAAACACAUAAGGAGACAAAAGUAAAUUUGUAAAUGUAUAGAUGUUCGAUAAUAUCGUAGUGUAUUUUAUUACAUAUUAGAAAUUGAAAUCAUGUUUGGACCGUUUGGUAUAGUUCAUUUUGGGAUUUUGAAUAUUUCAGAUUCUAUCAAAUAUCCAUCUAGGUUCGAGUUCGGUUCGGAUAAAGCCUACAAACCGAAAUAUCAUAAAAUAAUAUCCAUUUGAUAUUUAUGUCGGAUUCAGAUUAGUUCAGAUUCAUUUUUAUCAGAUCGGAUUCGGUUCAGAUUUUCGGGUUCAUAUUAUUUUUCCAGUCCUACAUUUUUUCUUUUCGAACAUCAACAUUACUUUAUGUUUAAAGUUCAACUAUAUUAACUGUAUUAUGACUAUCAACUAUUAAUUCUAUUUUUAUUGAAUAGAUCAAUGAAAACCAAUUAUGAUUUUUCCCUUUGACCUAACCAACUUCAAAACAAAAUGAUAUACUAGGAUCGCUAACAACUACCAAAUGGAUCAUAAAAAUUAUCAUUCUCUUUCAACAUAUUUGCAUCUUCAUAUAUUUGGAAAUAUUUUAUUUACUAAAACUAUAAAAUUAAUUUAAAAUUCAUUAAAAAUAAAACAUACGAACCCGGCGCGUAGCGCCGGAAUACCACUAGUCUUAUAUAAUAAAGGAGACUUUAGUCUCUCCUCCUGCGUCCACAUCAUCAGAGAGGUAAGGACUUUUUGUGACACUUGGCAGCUCAGGAGUGGACCGGUGUUUCUCACGCUCUCACUUCCUUCUCGCUCUCACGCUCUCUCUUCCUCCUCGCGCGUGGCUUUUAAUUUAAUUCUGUAUUUUUGAUUUUCCUUUUAAUCCAACAAGCUACUUAUUAGUUUAUUUAAUUCCCCUUCUCUUUCCACGAUUUGGGCAUGGAAGCGAUGGAAACAGCGAUUCCCCCCCCCCUCCGAACAAAGCUCUGAGUUUCACGGGGGUUCAUGGCACCAGAUCUUUAGGUUCUCUCAAAGGUAAAGGUUCUUCAUGGACUUCGUUUAAAUCGAGUUAGAAUGGGGACAAAAUGGAUUGGGAAGGGACAUGACUAGAUUUGAUUUUGAUUUGAAAUCUGGUGAUUUAAGUAAGGUGAGAUGCGAUUCAGAGUAUUGGUUAUAAUUACGACUAUCGAAUGGUAAAGAAGAUCGAGUUAGCUGGUGCAAUUGACGAUGAUAUAAUAAAUCCAUUUAAAGACUGUUCAGUCUCCACGGUUCUAUAUCUUUGUACUUUCUUCCUUUUGACGUGUAUUUCUGUCUGUGGAUAUGUGAUAUGUGAUAUUGAUGUUUUGUUAUUUAGUAGUAGGUUAUGAGCUUAUGAUGCUGAUUUUGCUUAGGACAAGAAUGUCUUCAGGGAUGAUUGCCGAGAGAAAUCAAGUUUUGCAGAAAAAUAAGUGUGGUAAGAGAUGCCAUAACGUCAUAUCUUUCGACUUUAUGCCGUUAACAGAAAACACCUGAAAUCAACUUGGUGUACUUAUAUCACACCUCGUGGAAGAGAAACAUGAUAUUGAUGAUUAAUGUAAUUUGUUAUGUAAUUAGUUUUUAUAUAUGAUAAGUUAA